rnacentral:pre_miRNA from 1 species
GAUGUACUCCCUCCGUUCGGAAUUACUUGUCGCGGAAAUGGAUGUAUCUAGAUGUAUUUUAGUUCUGGAUACAUCCAUUUCCGAGACAAGUAAUUCUGAACGAAGGGAGUACAUA